UACGAAGGUGGCGAGCGUUGUUCGGAAUCACUGGGCUUAAAGAGCACGUAGGCGGGUGAUCAGGCGUCUUGUGAAAGCCCUCGGCUCAACCGAGGAAUUGCUUGGCGAACUGGUCAUCUUGAGGCAGGUAGGGGCAAGUGGAACUCUUGGUGGAGCGGUGGAAUGCGUAGAUAUCAAGAGGAACGCCAGAGGCGAAGGCGACUUGCUGGGCCUGUCCUGACGCUGAGGUGCGAAAGCCAGGGUAGCGAACGGGAUUAGAUACCCCGGUAGUCCUGGCCCUAAACGAUGUCCACUAGAUCGGAGAUUCUCUGACGGAUUUCUGGUCGAAAUGAAAACGGUAAGUGGACCGCCUGGGGAGUACGGUCGCAAGGCUAAA
rnacentral:rRNA from 1 species